rnacentral:rRNA from 1 species
UACGAAGGGGGCUAGCGUUGCUCGGAAUCACUGGGCGUAAAGGCGCAACGUAGGCGGGAUUGCUAAGUCGAGGGGUGAAAUCCUAGGAGCUCAACUCCCAGAACUGCCUUUGAUACUGGCGACCUUGAGUCCGGGAGAGGUGAGUGGAACUGCGAGUGUAGAGGUGAAAUUCGUAGAUAUUCGCAAGAACACCAGUGGCGAAGGCGGCUCACUGGCCGGUACUGACGCUGAGGUGCGAAAGCGUGGGGAGCAAACAGG